rnacentral:rRNA from 1 species
CCUACGGGAGGCAGCAGUGGGGAAUAGUGCACAAUGGGGGAAACCCUGAUGCAGCGACGCCGCGUGAGUGAAGAAGGAUGUCGGGAUGUAAAGCUCUAACAGCAGGGAAGAAAAUGACGGUACCUGAUGAAGAAGCCCCGGCUAACGACGUGCCCGCAGCCGCGGUAAUACGUAGGGGGCAAGCGUUAUCCGGAUCUACUGGGUGUAAAGGGAGCGUAGACGGGGAUGCAAGGCAGACGUGAAAGCCCUGGGCUCCACUCCGGGACUGCUUUUGAAACUGUGUAACUGGAGUGCAGGAGAGGUAAGCGGACUUCCUGGUGUCGCGGUGACAUGCGUAGAUAUCCGGAGGCACACCAGUGGC